GAUGAACGCUGGCGGCGUGCUUAAUACAUGCAAGUCGAGCGAACGGACGAGAAGCUUGCUCCUCUGAGGUUAGCGGCGGACGGGUAAGGAACACGGGGAUAAUAACCCGAUAAUAAUGGGAUAAAGUCGGUGAACUGGACCUAAUACCGGAGGAUAUUUUGAAACUCAAGGCUUAAUAGCGAAAGACGUUAUGGCCGACACUUCUAGAUGCUUCCGCGCUGCAUUAGCUAGUUAGUAAGCUAACGGCUUACAAAGGCAACAAUGCAUAGCUGACCUCAGGGCGUCGUCGGCUACACUGGCUCUGAGACACGGCCGAGACUCCUGCGGGAGGCAGCAGUCGGGAAUCCUACGCAAUGCAGGAAAGCCUAACGGAGCACCGCCGCGUGAGUGCUGAAGGUCUUCCGCUCCUUAAACUCUGUUAUCAGGGAAGACCAAAUGUGUAAGUAACUGUGCACAUAUUGACGGUACCUAAUCAGAAAGCCCCGGCUAACUACGUG
rnacentral:rRNA from 1 species